GGCCGGCGUGGUGGACUUGGCGUUGGCGGGGCUGGCGCCCCGGCCAGGCCGCGUGGGAGCGCGGCCCGGCCG
rnacentral:tRNA from 1 species